rnacentral:lncRNA from 1 species
AGGAUCGCAUAAGUUUAGUUUCGUGACUCUGAUCAUAAUCAAAGAUAGCUUUAUUAAUAGAAAUAUAGGAUAAGAGUUUAAGCCCAAUAAGAUAAUAUUGUACCACAUAAUUGAAAUUCUAAGUUUAGAGAAUUUAACAGACGAAAUGACAAGCUAGUCGUUAGCGGAAGCAAAAGACAUUGUGGUACCCAGCCUCAGCUCAGCCCCGUCUGCACCAGCCGAUCAACCUGAAAAUAUUUGAAAAUAAUUUGGGCUGAGUACUAAUGUACUCAGUGGGCACAAGUUUUCGAAAUAUUUUAUGAAAUAAUCGAAGCAGUUUAUCCAAUAUCACAAUCAUGACUUAGAAGGUUUUAAAACGGAAUCCCACUUCUAAGCAUGACAAAACUUUUCUUCAUUUAGUGGCGCGCCAUGUACGUUCGAUUGUUACUCACUUUCUCCCUACAUUCACUGAUCUCGGGACGCACCCAGUCAGAUCCAAAAUCUGUUAUUGAUCUCGGGACGCACCCGGUCGGAAUCAAUAACCUUAACUGUGCUCCGGAUAACCUCCUGUCAAGCACCGUGCUCCGGAUAACCUCCUGUCAAGCACCCACCCUUAUAACGUUCUAAAUCUGUUAGUGCACGAUGGCGAUCAACCCAUCGAGCCACUAACCCUGUGUACACAAUCCUCAUUUAGCGUGUUAGGCCAAAUGAGAAUCUCGAUCGAUACUUAAGCGAGCCUUAAACAAUUACAGAACGCACAUAAAAACAUUUAUAUUGGAUAAACAGAUAAUUUUCAUGAAAUAUCAGAGCUUAUAUAACUCAAGAUACAUUGUAUGUAAAAUAAAACCCACCUGAAUAGGCAAAGCCUGUAGUUUAAUCGUAAACCUGUCACGGGAAAGCAGUGCUAAUCCUCCUGGUCCUCAAAAGCCUACAAGAAAUCUAUUCUUAAUAGGUCUCUUGGUGCUAUUCUAACUUCUAAAUAAAAAGGGGAAAAUCACUAACUAUUGAUACACUUUACCCGAAUUAAUAAUCUCUUUAAGUGAAUCCGUAAAUUUUUAAUACAUAAUUAUGACUAAUUUAAUAUAAUAUAAUUUAUAAAUUUAUAAAUAAUUAAUAAUUAAAAGAAAAUAUAAAACCUUAAUCUUAUAAGAAAAAUAAUAAAACUAGUUAAGGCACUUCAGACUCAUUUAAAGAAAGAAUUAAAGCCCAAGACAAUACAAUACAAAAGACUUGUUCAAUUUAAAUGAGCCCAAGUAAAUUAAAUGAAUAGAGCCCAUCAGAUAGAAGAAAUCAGCCCAAUCAGAUGAUAAAAAAAAAAAUCAGCCCAAUAAACUAAAUAAAAGUGAGCCCAAAAUAAUAGCUAACAAUUAAAGAAAAUUUGAACUAAAAGAAAACAAAGCUUCUUUUCUCUCUCCUCACACCCACUCUCGGCUCCCCCUCUCCUUCUCUCUCAUUUUCCUCCUUUCUCCCUCAAAACCGCUGCCCCUCUCUCUCUUGGCCGGACGGCCAUCGGCUUCUGCCGCCGCCGCUCCAAGUCCGGCGGAAUCAUCGCCGCACACCACCUCCGGUCUUCCCUCUCUCACCACCUCCCAUCCGUCUCUCUCUCUCUCUCUAAAACCACCACCUCUUCUCUUCUCCCUCCAUAGAUCCGCCGCCGCCUGCUCCAACCCCGGCGAGAAUCGCCAGAUCCGAGGCCUCCCUCACUCAUCGCCUUCCCUCGCGUUUCCGGCAGCGGACGGCCAAGAAGGGCGGCCGCCGCUGCUGCUCCGUUCACGCCGCGAUAGCGGCGCUUGGCCUUCGGCCGUGCCGCCCCAGCCACGCCCACGACGCCGCCUCGCUCCGUCUCCAUCUGUCUUGGCCGUGGGUGGCCGGCGGGCUGCUGCAACGCAUGCAGCGCCGGCAGCCGCGGCCUUGACAGCUCGGCGUCGAGCUCGGACAGCCCGCAUUCGUCUCCCUCUCGUCUCUCACACUCAACAAGGCAACGAAAAGAAAAUCUCAGAUUUGAAAGAUUUGAUUUUUGGGCAGUGUGUUUCUGAAAUUUCUUAAGAGAAAAAAAAAUGCUCUUGUUCUCAGUUCUUGCUUUUAUUCAUUAGGUCCUUCCGUAAAGUCUAGGAUUGAGAGAGAUACAAAUCUGUUACAAGGUAAGUAAAGGGAAAUACAUGGUGUAGUAAAGAUUUGGGAGAUGCUGAACCUUGUACAGGAGCUCUCCUUGUACAUG